rnacentral:rRNA from 1 species
UACAGAGGUCCCGAGCGUUGUUCGGAUUCACUGGGCGUAAAGGGUGCGUAGGUGGCUUGGAAAGUUUGAUGUGAAAGCUCAGGGCUUAACCCUGAAAUGGCAUUGAAUACUGUCGAGCUGGAGGUUUGGAGGGGGGACUGGAAUUCUUGGUGUAGCAGUGAAAUGCGCAGAUAUCGGGAAGAACACCCGUGGCGAAGGCGGCUCUCUGGAACGCAACUGACGCUGAGACGCGAAAGCAUGGGGAGCAAACAGG